GCCAGACUCCUACGGGAGGCAGCAGUGGGGGAUAUUGCACAAUGGGGGGAACCCUGAUGCAGCGACGCCGCGUGGGUGAAGGAGCGUUUCGGCGCGUAAAGCCCUAUCGGCAGGGAAGAAGGAGGACGGUACCUGACUAAGAAGCCCCGGCUAACUACGUGCCAGCAGCCGCGGUAAUACGUAGGGGGCAAGCGUUAUCCGGAUUUACUGGGUGUAAAGGGGGCGCAGACGGCAGCGCAAGCCAGGAGUGAAAGCCCGGGGCCCAACCCCGGGACUGCUCUUGGAACUGCGCGGCUGGAGUGCAGGAGGGGCAGGCGGAAUUCCUGGUGUAGCGGUGAAAUGCGUAGAUAUCAGGAGGAACACCGGUGGCGAAGGCGGCCUGCUGGACUGCGACUGACAUUGAGGCCCGAAAGCGUGGGGAGCAAACAGGAUUAGAUACCCCAGUAC
rnacentral:rRNA from 1 species